rnacentral:rRNA from 1 species
UGGGGAAUAUUGGACAAUGGGCGAAAGCCUGAUCCAGCCAUGCCGCGUGUGUGAAGAAGGUCUUCGGAUUGUAAAGCACUUUAAGUUGGGAGGAAGGGCAGUAAGUUAAUACCUUGCUGUUUUGACGUUACCAACAGAAUAAGCACCGGCUAACUUCGUGCCAGCAGCCGCGGUAAUACGAAGGGUGCAAGCGUUAAUCGGAAUUACUGGGCGUAAAGCGCGCGUAGGUGGUUCAGCAAGUUGGAUGUGAAAUCCCCGGGCCCAACCUGGGAACUGCAUCCAAAACUACUGAGCUAGAGUACGGUAGAGGGUGGUGGAAUUUCCUGUGUAGCGGUGAAAUGCGUAGAUAUAUGGAGGAACACCGGUGGCGAAAGCGGCUCUCUGGCUUGUAACUGACGCUGAGGCUCGAAAGCGUGGGGAGCAAACAGGAUUAGAUACCCUGGUAGUCCACGCUGUAAACGAUGAGUGCUAGGUGUUAGACCCUUUCCGGGGUUUAGUGCCGUAGCUAACGCAUUAAGCACUCCGCCUGGGGAGUACGACCGCAAGGUUG